GGCCCGUUGGUCAAGAGGUUAAGACACCGCCCUUUCACGGCGGUAACACGGGUUCGAAUCCCGUACGGGUCAUCA
rnacentral:tRNA from 2 species